rnacentral:lncRNA from 1 species
AUUUGUUUACGAAGAUAUCUCCGCUCACUGACAAUCAGGGUCACAUGUCGCUCUCUUGACAGUUUGACGCCUGACACUGCUGGUUCUCCCUCUGCAACCGUAACACGGGGAAUCGGAUAAGGUUCUCCUCUAUCUCCGAGAAGACGACGACGAGCGAGAGAUCGGAGCACCGAGCACGUACAAUGGAGUCUACGCUGAUCACGAGAUACCCCAUCCUUCCCUGUCCCCCGAGACGGGCCACCUCGCCUUCGCGCUGCUCCGCCGGAGCCGGNNN